UAGGCUGCCUCUUGCAUGUCCCACACUGGGGAUUGAGCUCACAACCCAGGCAUGUGCUCUGACUGGGAAUUGAACCAUGACCUCCUGGUUCAUAGGUCGAUGCUCAACCUCUAAGCCAUGCUGGCCCAGCAUGAGAUGAAAUCUUUACAGAUUUUAUACUUGCCUUUGUCAACAACAGUGACAGUUUAGUAGAUCUUUUUAUCUGAUUCUGGCUUGUCCCUAAAUGUCUGCUAAUUUAAUUCAAAGAGUAUGUAUCUACUGCAUACAAAACACUGUGCUAAGAGGUGUGGCUAAUAAUAAUAAUGAUAAAAUAAUAAUAGCUAGCACUUAAUGUUUAAUGAGUGCCGAUCACUUUUAAGUACUUUGCAUGCAUAGCUUGUUUGGUUCUCAGCCGCUUUAUGAAAUGAGGAAACUGAGGCAUUAAGGGGCUUAGAAGCUUGCUCAAGGUCACACAUAAGUAAUUAAAUACAGGUAGUCCACAUCCAGGCCAACUCUCUUAACCACUUCUUUGGGGUAAAUAAGAUACUAAGCUGAAAAAUAUGACUUCAAACACCUUGCUAUCAAGAGGGAAGCUUUGAAAUGAUUAUAACUUAUUAUUGGUUGAAAAAAGUCAAUCAAGAUUCUUGAAAUUUUUUGGAACAGCAGCUAUCUCAGUACAAUGAAGAAUUCCUUGAAGGCACCUCCGGCAUCUCGAGCUCCUCCGUGUUUGUGUCCUCGCACAUGAUGCUCCCUCCGGCUGCAGAAUCCUUCCUCUGGAUUCAUCUCAAGGCCACCUCCUCGACUUCCUUCAGAUCCAGCAUAGACAUGGCCUCCC